UCCGGACAUCCAAAAUUCGAUUUGAUCUUCGUGAUCAUUCUUGCUUCUCGAUUUGCCUCCCCGGCAACGGCACCAAAAUUUUGUUGUCCGAUUUCUGUUUACCUAAAAAUAAGCUAAACAGAUCGUUGUUAGAACCGACAAACAAAGUUUAAUUUAAUUAUACUCUUACCUUUUCUACUCGAAGAAUAGUGGUCGUAAGAGGUCGAUCCACAGGGAGGCGACUGGAGUUGCAUAAAAAUCAAAACAUUCAUUCGGAUUCAAAAUCGAUUUUUGAAUAACAAAAGAAAAACAUUAUGUCGGGGAUGUUGAAUGAUUCUCUG
rnacentral:lncRNA from 1 species